rnacentral:rRNA from 1 species
GACGUAGGGCGCGAGCGUUGUCCGGAUUUAUUGGGCGUAAAGAGCUCGUAGGCGGCUUGUUGCGUCGGCUGUGAAAACCCAUGGCUUAACCUGGGCUUGCAGCCGAUACGGGCAGGCUAGAGUUCGGUAGGGGAGACUGGAAUUCCUGGUGUAGCGGUGAAAUGCGCAGAUAUCAGGAGGAACACCGGUGGCGAAGGCGGGUCUCUGGGCCGAUACUGACGCUGAGGAGCGAAAGCGUGGGGAGCGAACAGG